GAUGCUGAGGCAGGAGAAUGGCGUGAACCCGGCAGACGGAGCUUGCAGGGAGCCGAGAUCGCCCCACUGCACUCCAGCCUGGGCGACAGAGCGAGACUCCGUCUUAAAAAAAAGAAAAAGAAAAAGAAAAAAAAGAUUCUCUCCACCUACAUUCAUUACCGUUUCUGGGAAGAGUUCUGAUAAAUUCAGUUUUUGCAACCUUGCUCCAUUUCCAGUGAUAUUCUUGAAUCCCUUAUGAUUGUGGUGACCCAGCCCGCUUCCUAGCUGGGAUGCUCCUUCAUCUGGUUCUGCCUAACUCACCCCUCAGCCCCCACUGCCUUGGGUAAGUCCUUAGAAAGAGAACUGACAAAUUAAAGUGAGACAUUCUUUCAUUCAUUCCAUAGCUAUUUAUUGAGCUUCUUAGAAGAGCUUCAGCUACCUGGCUAGCAUUCUUAGACAUCAAUGGGCAACCAACUUGUCAUUGGCAGUUUUACAUGUGAAGUCAGCACUCCACAAGCAAAAGAAAAUCUGCCUUAGCUUCCUAGAGAGGGGGGCCCUACUCAAGGUUGAAUAGAGCACAGUAAAAUUCAGCAACUGCAGCAUCAACAAAUGAAGCAAUCAGGGUAAUCAUUCAGCAGUGAUUAAUAGCAACAUCUCUUCUUGGGUCUCAGACAUGAAGCUAUACAUAGGUAGCUAUUCCUAGCUCUAACUCUGUUUUAAUGUAUUUGGCCUUCAGUCAAUCAAUUCACCUUCCUCUGACCCAUACAGUGUCCCCCGUGAAAGGUUUCCUGAGUAAGAUUCACCCUGGGGAUGCAACCCACUUCAGACCUGCUUGAGCUGCACCGAGCGGCCACAUGGUGUCGUGGUCACCCCCUCUGGCUUUGGAGUCAGACAUGCCUGCAUUUGGGGUCCAGCUCUGACAUGUUAGCUAUGUCACUUUGAGCAGAUUACUUUUUUAACCUUUUCCAUCCUUGGUUUCCUCAUCUGAAAAAAAAGGGGGCAAGGGCUAAUAUCCACCUCAUAGUAUUACCAUAUGUAUAACAGGAAGAAAAAAAUGUAAUGUAAAAAAUGAUUGCCAUAUUUCUUCAUUCUGGGGGGAGCAGGAUUCCUCACAGAGGUGCUUCACUCAUUUGUGGAGGAAUAAACACUUUGUUCAACUUUUUUGGUUAAGAAAAGCAGCUGAGGAUCCAAUUCUCAGCUCCUUCUCUGAUCUCAGAGUGAGAAUAGCCCAGAAUGGAGAUGUUUGUUCAAAAGAGUUAAAUUUCCUUUGUAUAAUAAAGUAACAGUAAUCAGAUAUUUUCAGGGAGAGGUGGAGGGCAGUAGAGAGAUGGAGGGAAAGGAUUGGGGAAAGGGAGAAAUGGCUGCAGGCAGGGCUCUGGGAGGCAGAGCAGCCAGGAAAAAGGGUGCUGGGCACGCUAGUGUGACGAUUUUCAGCACUUCCUGGUCCGAGUGGUGCUGUCACAGUCCUAUGUUGCCCUGACCUUUAGUUAAAGUCUUCCAGGCAAAAUGACCUUAAGUCCUGGGAGUCUUUGGGGAAAGAAGAAAAGAAGGGGCCCGCUUGCCAUGAAUGAGAGUGAUGUGAUAAGAGGACAACAUUGUCAGCAGGCAGGUGAAAGUGCCCAAAUUCAGCUGGAGCAGGAAUUCAUAAGGAAAAGUGAUCACAAAAAAUGUCACUCCAUGCCCCAAGAGUUUUUGGAAAUCUUGGCUGGGUGUGGUGGCUCACACUUGUAAUCCUAGCACUUUGAGAGGUCAAGGCAGGAGGAUCACUUGAAGCUGGGAGUUCGAGAUCAGCCUGAGCAAUAAAGCAAGACUUCGUCUCUACAAAAAAUACAACAACAACAACAACAAAUUUAGCUAGGCAUGGUGGCUUGCACCUCUCACCCCAGAUACUCAGGUGGCUGAGGCUGGAGGAUCGCUUGGGCCCAGGAGUUCGAGUCUGCAGUGAGCUAUGACUGGGCAACAGAGCAAGACUCUGUCUCAAAGUAAAAAAAAUAAAAUAAAAUAAAAAUAUAUCUUGGGAAAACAUGGACUUUCCAGACUUGGGUUGUUAAUAAAACAUGAUUCAAGAACGCGGGUAAAAAUUAAGUUACAUAAGGAUUAAAUGAGAGAAUGUACUAAAGCAAGUAGCUCAGAGCCCACUUCUUGAUAAGCUUUCAACUUAAAAUAGCCCUUAUUAUUAUGACUUAAUGUUCAAUUUCCUCUUUUCUUCACCCCUUUUACUUCAAGGGCUCACAAUCUACUUAAAAAUUUCGAUAUAGUCACUCAUUUAUUCUACAAACAUUUACCAAAGUCCUUUGAUGUGUCAGCUCUAAGCACUCAAGAUGGAGUGGCAGUAGGAUCCCAACACUUAUAUCUGUCCAGAAUUGGUCAUCAGCUGGCUUGAGUUCUCCCAUUCUGCCUGUGCCUUCCCUUAGCAAGGGAAAGAACAAGAUGGAAGAGAAGGAAAAGGCUUGAUUGAACCAGCCAAUAGAUAAUUAGAAGCUGACUAUUUUGCAAUAAUGCAGCACAACAGCAAUAAAUAAAUCAAUCACUUGGGGGGUGGGGAAUGACUUCCCUAUAAUCAGCUAUUAAAGACUUGUACCACUAAUUAGUCUAUUAAUUAGAACUGUUCUCUUCCUUCCACAUGUUAUCAGCCUGCCAAGGCAGAGAAAACUCAGCCCCGGGGGCAGGAGAUAAGAGAAGUAAGACAUACAGAAGUGGCAGAUUCAAACAGCUGGGCUUGUGUGUGUUUUAAAAGCACAGUUCUUAGUGCCCCGGGCAUAUCCACCUGCUAGUAGGAAAAGAACGUUUAUCAAAAACCAAAAGGCUGUUGUCUUUGUUGAGCAGAAAGGGGAAAAAAAGAUUUAAUCUUUAAAGAGAAAAACCACUGUAACCACACUCAGGGAUCUGUGAAGGGCAGUUCCACUGGGUGUUCCCUACAGCACAGGACACAGUGAGAAACAAACAUGCUUAGUGCCAAGGCAGCAUAAUCAGAAGACCGAGGGGCAGAGGCACUCUGCUCCUACUAUGUGCCUGGCACCACCUCCGUUCUUUAUGUUUGUAAUAUCUUGUCUGAUGAUUUCAUCUACAUUCUCAGAUGCCCUUGAGUUAUUUCUGGGAGUUCCCAAAAAGGGACCUCAGAUGAGCCCUCACAGCUGUGGUCACCAAAAGAUGGCUGCUCUGCUCUGCCUCUCCUGUUGUGGCUCUCAGUGGUUCGUGCUCCCCGCCCACCAAGAGCUUGGGAAAGCCUCUCAUCACCGUGCCUGACCUUGUUUUGCAAGCUCAAAGGGCUCUGCCUGGGUCCAGAAACUCACAAGUCAUUCUUCAAGAGUUCCAACAAGCUCUGAGCCCCACAGCCAUCUACAUAUCCCCGACAAAUGCACAUUGAGGAGUACUGCAGCCUUCAUACUCCUUUUCUCACUUUCCCAGCUCCUCCGAUCUGCUCUGUCCCCUAGUUACUAAGCAGACAUCCCCUUGCAUUCAUAUGAAAAAUAGCAGACACAGGGUGGGGUUUGGGGGCAGGUGUCUCCACUAGCAACAGCUCACCAACAGUUGAUAGGUUAUCUUGCUUAAUCCUCCCAACAGCCAUGUGAUGGGCUAUCAAUCCCAUUUUGCAGAAUGGGGAAACUGUGGCUCAGAGAGGUUAAGCAAUUUGGCCAGGCUUCCAUGGGCUGUGACAAAGCACUUGGUAAGAGCUCAAUAAACAUUUGCUGAUGGACAGAAUUGAAAAUAUGGAGGAAAUGGAAGAUCUCCAGCUUCUGAGAAGCUCAGAGCCUGCGGGGGUCCAACUACACAGUAAAGGGGGCUGUCAAUUGAGGUAGCCCCAUUAGAGUAAGAGAAGGGGCAGAGAUAGAGAGCAUAGGGUCAGACCCAAGGCCAAGGCCAAUUCCUCCCCACCCCAUUCUUUCCUAUCUUGGUAACUGUUGAUAUAUAGUCCAUUUUCUACCAACAACUCACCUCUGCCCCCUGUGCCUCAACAAACACAUCCACACACACAUAAAAACCCUUCAGAAGCGGUCAGUGGUGACAUUUAUGAGCUGCAUGAUCCUCAGGAUGUCAACAUGUACGUGUCCCAACAUCGAUACCUACUUUGGGGAUGGAGAGAGGAGCAGUGGUGAUGUGGCGGAGAGAGUCUGAGCUUGAAAUCCCAUGUCAGGCCUCUGUUCCUUG
rnacentral:lncRNA from 1 species